CUCACGACAGAUCUCAUCUCAUCUCAUUCUCUGCUUUUUUUUCCCGAUUCUCUCUUCUUCACUCUAACCUCUCAUAUCUCAUAUCUCAUAUCUCUUUUCUCUCUCAUCUCUCUCAACGCCUCUCUCAUCUCUCCCAUCUCUCUCAACGCCUCUCUCGUCUCACCACCACCGCGUCUCCUCCUCGUCUCACCACCACCGUUUUCCCCCUUGUCUCACCACCAACACGGUGGAGGAGCCAAGGUUCAUGGCGGCUGGAGGAAGCAAGGUUCAUGGCGGCUUGAGGAUGCAAGUCUCGUGGCGGCUGGAGGAAUCAAAGUUCAUGGCUGCUGGAAGAGGGACAAGGCUAUGGAGGAGGCGGCAGGAGAUUUUUCUUUAGGUUUAGGUUUUUUAGGUCUGGUUAAGUGUAAACCGAGUUAGGAAAACUGUAGUGGUCUGAUUUUAUUUCUUAAUUUCUGGUUUAGUUUUGUAAACCAGAAUUAAUCUGUAAACCAAAUUUAAUUUAUUAAUAAAAUUUAUUUUAUUUUCA